GCACCAGGUCCACAUCCUGGUUGUCGCCAAAACCGGAUAUGCGGCGGAAAGCAGAACAAAUUUUAUGUCACAUCAAAUAAUCAAGUCGCAAAAGACCUUCAAGUUUAAAGAAAAAAGAAAACAAACAAUCCAAAAACCAACAUGUUGGCUGGAAUUUCUCGCGCUGUAGUCAAAGCUGCCCCAAAAUCGGCGGUCCGCAAUAUCAGUGUUACCGCUGGACCACCAUUGAACCCCCUUACCACAGCUGAAACUGUCGGAUAUGGUAUCUUCAUGUUCUCUGCAUGCAUCUCCUACCCUGUCUGGGUCAUGCUUAACAUCAAGAAGUGGAACAAAAAGGAAGAAUAAAUUUUAAGCAGAUUUCUAGAUCAUUCAAAAAUGUAAACAAAAUACACAAUAAAAGUUCGUUCAAUUGGA